CAGUUAAGUUUGAUGUUAAUGGAAAACCCAUUUAAAACAAUGAUUACCCUCUGAAGAAAAAGUGAGUGCACUCAAGUGGAAACGGAAGAUUUAUCGAUCAGUUUUCAGGCACAUCAAAAGCUUUCUAAUCAACCCCUGGAUGUGCCGCUUGGCGAGGAAGGAGACGCUGCAGGCCUCGCCCUUGGCGCCCAGCACGGCCACCGCCAUGAGCGCGGCCUUCCCCUGCCCCUUCACAACGGGGAGAAGGAAAACCAAAACAAGUGUGGUGAGCAAAAAGAACCAAAGAACCACAAGUGAAGAGACAACAAGAGGAAUGGAGCUGGGAGAAAAUCACCAUACUUUUACGUGAGACAUCUCCAUGGACACGUCAUUGUGACAGUGAAGGUGCUCCAAAGAGACACUGUGACUCUGCUUCUCUCAGCCACUGUCAAAAGCUGUGUGCAGAUCUGAAAGUGCGACAGGGAUCAAUGGGAAUCCAAUGUGGACAAAAAGGUACCCUGGUUAAAUUCAAAGUGAGUUUCAUAAACUGAUUUUAGAAACUGUUUUUCUUUUAAAACAUAUCUUUCAAACAAGAUCACAGUUUUGAAUUUGCAGUAAUGACAUCACGAAAGAUAGAACUGCAGCCAAUAUUUCUGAUAGGGAAAAUAUAUAUAUAAAUGGUAAAUUUAUACUACCCUGACAGAAGAAGGCUUCUCAAGUGCAGAGUUUGGAUUAACAGUAACUGACAGAAAAAAUGACUUUUUAACGCACAGAUUUUAAGAUCACCUUAUGGGAAAAGAUGAUACUAAAACCCAUGGCAAUCAUGCAUAGAUUACUUCUGAAACUUGCAUGUAUUCCCAGUAAGUCCUCUCUAGAUUCCAUUUACCCUUUUUCUACUAAGCUUCCUAUCUGUAUAUGCCCCAGUAGAAAGAAAUCUUCUAGACAUUUACUGGCACAACUUUCUAAUUAGGUUUAUUGAUAAUUAAUCUGGAUAAAUCCAUGUGCAAAAACAUCUCAUUAUCAUUCUUUUAAAGCAUGAUAUAGGGUGUUUGUUUAUAGAUAUUUUUCCAUUUCAUGUUUUCUGCUCUGUGCAUGCUAUAGUGAGACUGUGGGUAUAGCUUCGUUAAAUUUUCAAGUCAGUCUGUGCUUUAAAGAAAUUAGUGCUUGAUAUAUAUGGCUGC